rnacentral:lncRNA from 1 species
UUUAAAUUCUUGUAGCAUCUGACUCUGAACAUCUCCCAGUGGCUAUCUUUAAGAUUGCCAUGUCUUCUUUCUUCCUUGCCCUCCACUCUCCUAUGUUUGAACUUACCUGAAUGACUUCUCAGCUCUCCUGUGUAUUCCACUUCAGUGGUGCCCGGUGCCCACACCCAACUUUGUUUUCCCUGCAAAAUCAAGUCCCAGUGUGGCUGCAAGGAUAACAGCUGACCUGUUCCAUGGAGAGGGCACCUGGAGGGGUAAGCCUCACACUGGCUGAAGAUGUUGUGUGCCACCCUGUGCACUUUUUGCUGGUAUUGGAUGGACAAAGCCAGCUUCAAACCCCACAUUUCCUCUGCUUUCCUAGUGCAAUAUUUCCUACAGCUCAGGCCCAUAGCCUUUUGCUGUGCCUAUGGGCUAAUGGACCAUCUGGUUAUGCUGUGUUGUAAUAGGAGGAAGAAACUGCAGCUGCAACUUAGGUACUCCCUGUGAUCUGCCCAGUAAGGCCUUAGUACUUAGGUGGGGGAGCAGGAAAGGUGGUCUGGGUCACACCCUCAGUGGCUCAGGAAGUGACACUAUGUGCCUAUAAGGACACUUUGCCAGGCCCUGUGGGGCAAGCCCAAACAAAUUUUUUGUUGCUUUAAAGCAGUGUCCUGCAGCAAGUAAACAGACUUUUGUGUGGAUCUGUCUGAAUCUUACUGAAUCUAUUUGAGCUGCUUUAUUUCAUUUUCUCCUUCCUUUACUUUUUUUGUCAGUUGUGGUUUGUCCCCAGGAUUUCAUCUUUGUCCAGUUUUCUUUUCUCUUUCAGGGCUGUUUCCACAUGUCUUCAUGUAGCUUGUGCUAUUCCAUCUAAAUCCUCACCAAGGAGGGAGAAGAAAACCCAAACCAAAAUGAUACUAAGAGCUGUUGUGAUGUGUGUUGUUUCUGCAAACUGUUGCUAUCCUAGACUGUUGUUUCUGUGUUGCCUAUUUAGAUGUCAGUGUGGGCAGUCCACGGAUAGGAAACCACUCUUGCAAAAGGCACAUAUCCUAUCAGGAAAGCCCAUCCCAGGCUCACAUAUGGAACAUCCUUUGCUUAACUCCAUAGUCAGUAGAAUGCAGCAGAAACCAACGCAAGUUUGUGUACCCUGCGGUGAAAUGGGGAUAUAGACUGGGAACAUACUUCUAAAGACACCCAUGCAGCAGUGUAUAGCUGAUAUGUGCAUCUAAUAUUGAUCUGGAGAAGAGAAAAACAGUUCUGUCAGUUGUUUAGUAGGUGCUUGAUGCAAUGUACUCUCAGCAUCUAAAUGGAGAUUAGAUUUUUAGAUAUACCUGACUGUAUCACAAAUAACUUAUGCGAAUUGUGGUUUUUAAAAGAUAUUUCCAAGCUGCAGAUCAGUUAGGGAGUUUUCUUUCUUCUGUAUAUGGUUUUUCUGUCAAAUUGAAGAAUUUGACUUGUAUCUAAAGCCUCAUUAAUGAAGCAUGAUUAUAUUAUUAUUUUUUAUUUUAUUAUUUAAUUUUUUAGAUGCCAACAGUUAGGGAAAAGUAAUAACUAUUUGGAAACAAACAAAUCCAAGUCAUGGAUGCAUUUUAACCUCUCAUUGUGGGUUCUGGAAGUUCAGUGGGACAAAAUUAGAAGCAACUCCUUGCAUACAGACUAUCUUCCUUUUAUCUUCAGCCCCCUGAAAAGCAAAGAAUUGGGGGUAUUUUCUGCAAAAAGGGAAUGUGUCCUUCAAGACCUUGUGAGAAUUUCAGUUGAUCGAUGGGAAGACAAAUGAAUAUUCAUAUGGCACCAUUCCUACUAAAUUUAAUGCAUUUGGGUAGUCCACUGAUCUCCAUGGGACUAUUCCUGUGCUGUAUUUUUGGUCCAGUACUUACCAGUUUGUUCAUUUGGAAAGCUAUUAUAAUUAUUACUGGAGAAUCAGAAGGGCUGAGGCAGCAUCUGAAGCCAAGAAAUUUACCAGCAUCGAUUUUCAAAAUGGCCUUUUAGAAUAAAUGUAGAAGCCUGGAGCA